CUCUUGACCUCUGAGCCAUCUCUCUUGCCUUCUCCGGUUUGGACUUUUAAGUGGAUUCUCUGAUUACUUCUUUAUCAAUAGUGCAGUUAUCACUUGUUUUUCUUUUUUCAGCCUGGCCUUGAAUUGAUGAUGGUCCUUCUAUCUCCACAUUCUGAGUGCUGGGAUUACAAUUAUGACCCACCAUGUCUGGCAUGCUGUUGUUCUCAAUUCUUACACCAAUGCCCCUGUAAUCUGAAUUCAAACUCCAAGCUCUGUUUUCUUGCUCUAGAAUCUGCUCCCCUCUUGAUUAAUCUCACUUACAGCCAAAUGUUUAUUCGAUUAUCUCCACCCCUUCUUCUGUGGUCUGACUCCAAGCCAUGGUCUCUGCUAACUACUGUUCCAUGAUUGCCCCUUUAGUUUGAAUGCAAAGCUGUACUAAUUCUCCAGCAUCAACACCUACAUCUCAUCUAGCUAUUCAAACAGAACAAUUGUUAACUAAUUCAAAAUCCUUCCCCCACUGGACAUGGUGAUACACGGAUUUAAUCCUAGCACUUGAGAAGUAGAGGCAAGCAGAUCUGUAUGAGUUCAAGGCCAGCCUGGGCAUCUGACCUCAAAUUGGAGCCUUUUUUUUUCCUUUUUUUUUGUUUUUUUAGAAACCCUGUCUCGAAAAAUAAAAUUACACCGUCGGAGAGGCUACCCUAAAUGCCCUUCUCCGGUAAUGAGAUUGAUGACUACCUUAUAUGUCAUCCUAGAGCCUUCAUCCAGUAGCUGAUGGAAGCAGAAGCAGAGAUCCACAGCUAAGCACUUAACUGAACUGGAAUCUAGUUGCAGAGAGGAAGGAGUGAUGAGCAAAGGGGUCAAGACCAGGCUGGAGAACCCAUAGAAACAGCUGACCUGAAUAAGGGGAAGCUCAUGGACCCCAGACUGACAGUUGGGGAACCAGCAUAGGACUGACCCAGACCUCCUGAAAGUGGGUGUCAGUUAGGAGGCCUGGGCAGUCUAUGGGGCCUCUGGUAGUGGAUCAGUAUUUAUCCCUAGUAUAUGAAUGGACUUUGGGAGCCUAUUCCACAUAGAGGGAUACUCUCUCAACCUAGACACACGGGGUAGGGCCUAGGUCCUGCUCCAAAUGAUAUGACAGACUUUGAUGAUCCCCCAUGGGAGGCCUCAACCUCCCUGGGGAGUGGAAGGAGGGGUGCG
rnacentral:lncRNA from 1 species